AAGUCGUAACAAGGUUUCCGUAGGUGAACCUGCGGAAGGAUCAUUAUUGAGAUAAUUAAUCAUUCCAUGUUAAAAAGGAUAUUAAAUCUAUAAAUUACAAGACAAGUAUAAAUAUUACAACUUUUAACGGUGGAUCUCUUGGUUCCU
rnacentral:misc_RNA from 1 species